UGGGGAAUAUUGCACAAUGGGGGAAACCCUGAUGCAGCGACGCCGCGUGAACGAAGAAGGUAUUCGUAUCGUAAAGUUCUGUCCUAUGGGAAGAUAAUGACAGUACCAUAGAAGAAAGCUCCGGCUAAAUACGUGCCAGCAGCCGCGGUAAUACGUAUGGAGCGAGCGUUGUCCGGAAUUAUUGGGCGUAAAGGGUACGCAGGCGGUUUAAUAAGUCGAAUGUUAAAGAUCGGGGCUCAACCCCGUAAAGCAUUGGAAACUGAUAAACUUGAGUAGUGGAGAGGAAAGUGGAAUUCCUAGUGUAGUGGUGAAAUACGUAUAUAUUAGGAGGAAUACCAGUAGCGAAAGCGACUUUCUGGACACAAACUGACGCUGAGGUACGAAAGCGUGGGGAGCAAACAGG
rnacentral:rRNA from 1 species